rnacentral:misc_RNA from 1 species
CAUGAGGGUAAGCUUCUAGUCCACAUAGCAGAAAAUGGCCACUCCUUUGAGCUUGAUUGUGAUGAAGCAACCCCUGUGGAGGCAGUUAUGCGGUAUAUUGAAUCAGUCGCAGGGAUUAAUUUCAAUGAACAGCUUGUUUUGUGUUUGGAUAUGAAACUCGAAUCCCAGCGGCCUCUUUCUGCUUAUAAGCUUCCAUCCAGUGAUGGAGAUGUGUUUAUAUUCAAUAAAGCUAGGCUCCAAAAUAGUUCCCCUCCCCCUCUACCUGAGCAAUUUGAUAUUCUUGAAGUUGCAGAUCCUCCACCACCAGCAUGUCCACAUGAUCCCCACCCCUUAGACGACGCAUUGGACCCCGCUUUGAAGGCUUUGCCUUCUUAUGAGAGACAAUUUAGGUACCAUUACCAUAGGGGUCAUGCGAUAUACAGUAGAACUCAUGUGAAGUAUGAGCAUUGUGAGAGGUUAUUGAGGGAGCAGAAGGUGCAGGAGAGAGCAGUUGAGGUUGCUAGGGGUAAUUUGGAUCAAUAUUAUAGGAUGAUUAGUCAGAAUUACUCAGAAUUCAUGAAGCGCUACACACAGCAGCACAGGAUGCAUUCUGAACUCUUAAU